rnacentral:misc_RNA from 1 species
AAGUCGUAACAAGGUUUCCGUAGGUGAACCUGCGGAAGGAUCAUUACCAAUUUUAGCGAGCCUGGUCUUGUUGACCAUGGUUUCGUGAAAAUCGUAUUUAAAACCCCACUCUUAAUAAAAUUGAAUCAUUUAUUUGUAUAAUAAAUAAAGAUCACUUUCAACAACGGAUCUCUUGGCUCUC